rnacentral:rRNA from 1 species
UACGAAGGGGGCUAGCGUUGUCCGGAAUCAUUGGGCGUAAAGAGCGUGUAGGCGGCCUGGUAAGUCCGCUGUGAAAGUCCAGGGCUCAACCCUGGAAUGCCGGUGGAAACUGUCAGGCUCGAGUCCGGAAGAGGCGAGUGGAAUUCCCGGUGUAGCGGUGAAAUGCGCAGAUAUCGGGAAGAACACCCGUGGCGAAGGCGGCUCUCUGGGACGGUACUGACGCUGAGACGCGAAAGCGUGGGGAGCGAACAGG